UAAUGUUUAUAAUAGUAUUCAAAGUAACGACGGCGUUCCGAAAACACGAUCCGGAACGGAGCUCGUUGUUACAUUAUCACAUUAGUCAUUACUAUAUUUUACUCGUAGUUUCUGAAGAAUCAUUUUACGAACCGAUAAAAUACCGAGACGAUAAAAAUCGAUUAAUUCAAAAAUUAUUCAACGAGAUAUUAACAUUACGUGUUCGCGAUAAACGG